AGGCGCCGCUCGCCUUCACGGCCUUUUUCCUGAUUUCCCAGGCGAAUUUCCCCCCGCAUUCUGCUGUCCCAGAGCCUCACCCCCUCUUUUUCUAACCUUUGUCUCUGCAGCGGUGGGCUCCAGUCGCCGGCUGCGGGAUUGCGGAGUCGGCGGCAGCCUCGGCUCCCGCCCUGGCCCCACCGCCGCUCCCUCGGUCUGCACCGCUACCACCUCCCGAGCUGGUGGGGAGCCUGGGGGAGGGAAGGCCUGGAAGGGGCCCUAGGCGCCGAGUCCCCCGCCGGCGCCGAUACCGCCUGCCGGGAACAACUGGCCUGCUCGGGGCGACUACAGCCGCGCGCUUCCGACGCGGCUUCUUCUCCAACAUGAGCGGGUCCCUACUGCCGAGAGUGCGCGCCUCGGGGCAGCGCCAAGUGGAUUACAGCCGCCGCCCGGACCGACCGCCGCCUGCAGCAAGGCAGCCUUCGGGUUCGGGACCAUGAGAGAGCGCCGCUACACCUGCCUAAGGGAACGGGCCGUGGCGUUUCGCCCUGAUCUCCUUGGGCCUUCCUGGACCUUCGUGGCCGGUCCCUGCUCGGCACAGGUGCAGCUCUGCCAAGGCGCUCACUUCUGUUAAGAGCUUGCUAGUUAGCAACCUGUCCUAUUAACGACCUGCGGCAUCAAACCAAAGCAAUAAACACCAAGGCAAUGCGAUCCCCUCCGCAGUCCAGCCCUUCUUAGCCCGGUCCAGC